AUUGAACGCUGGCGGCAGGCCUAACACAUGCAAGUCGAACGGUAGCACAGAGAGCUUGCUCUCGGGUGACGAGUGACGGACGGGUGAGUAAUGUCUGGGAAACUGCCCGAUGGAGGGGGAUAACUACUGGAAACGGUAGCUAAUACCGCAUAACGUCGCAAGACCAAAGUGGGGGACCUUCGGCCCUCACACCAUCGGAUGUGCCCAGAUGGGAUUAGCUAGUAGGUGGGGUAAUGGCUCACCUAGGCGACGAUCCCUAGCUGGUCUGAGAGGAUGACCAGCCACACUGGAACUGGGACACGGUCCAGACUCCUACGGGAGGCAGCAGUGGGGAAUAUUGCACAAUGGGCGCAAGCCUGAUGCAGCCAUGCCGCGUGUAUGAAGAAGGCCUUCGGGUUGUAAAGUACUUUCAGCGGGGAGGAAGGCGGUGAAGUUAAUAGCUUCACCGAUUGACGUUACCCGCAGAAGAAGCACCGGCUAACUCCGUGCCAGCCGCCGCCGUAA
rnacentral:rRNA from 1 species